GAUGAACGCUGGCGGCGUGCCUAAUACAUGCAAGUCGAGCGAACAGACGAGGAGCUUGCUCCUCUGAUGUUAGCGGCGGACGGGUGAGUAACACGUGGAUAACCUACCUAUAAGACUGGGAUAACUUCGGGAAACCGGAGCUAAUACCGGAUAACAUGUUGAACCGCAUGGUUCAACAGUGAAAGACGGUCUUGCUGUCACUUAUAGAUGGAUCCGCGCCGCAUUAGCUAGUUGGUAAGGUAACGGCUUACCAAGGCAACGAUGCGUAGCCGACCUGAGAGGGUGAUCGGCCACACUGGAACUGAGACACGGUCCAGACUCCUACAGGAGGCAGCAGUAGGGAAUCUUCCGCAAUGGGCGAAAGCCUGACGGAGCAACGCCGCGUGAGUGAAGAAGGUCUUCGGAUCGUAAAACUCUGUUAUUAGGGAAGAACAAAUGUGUAAGUAACUAUGCACGUCUUGACGGUACCUAAUCAGAAAGCCACGGCUAACUACGUG
rnacentral:rRNA from 1 species